rnacentral:rRNA from 1 species
GUGGGGAAUAUUGGACAAUGGGCGCAAGCCUGAUCCAGCCAUGCCGCGUGAGUGAUGAAGGCCUUAGGGUUGUAAAGCUCUUUCACCGAUGAAGAUAAUGACGGUAGUCGGAGAAGAAGCCCCGGCUAACUUCGUGCCAGCAGCCGCGGUAAUACGAAGGGGGCUAGCGUUGUUCGGAUUUACUGGUCGUAAAGCGCACGUAGGCGGUUUGUUAAGUCAGGGGUGAAAUCCCGGAGCUCAACUCCGGAACUGCCUUUGAUGCUGGCAAGCUAGAGUCCGGAAGAGGUAAGUGGAACUCCUAGUGUAGAGGUGGAAUUCGUAGAUAUUAGGAAGAACACCAGUGGCGAAGGCGGCUUACUGGUCCGGAACUGACGCUGAGGUGCGAAAGCGUGGGGAGCAAACAGGAUUAGAUACCCUAGUAGUCC